UGGGGAAUUUUGGACAAUGGGCGAAAGCCUGAUCCAGCAAUGCCGCGUGUGUGAAGAAGGCCUUCGGGUUGUAAAGCACUUUUGUCCGGAAAGAAAUCCUUGGCUCUAAUACAGUCGGGGGAUGACGGUACCGGAAGAAUAAGCACCGGCUAACUACGUGCCAGCAGCCGCGGUAAUACGUAGGGUGCAAGCGUUAAUCGGAAUUACUGGGCGUAAAGCGUGCGCAGGCGGUUUGCUAAGACCGAUGUGAAAUCCCCGGGCUCAACCUGGGAACUGCAUUGGUGACUGGCAGGCUAGAGUAUGGCAGAGGGGGGUAGAAUUCCACGUGUAGCAGUGAAAUGCGUAGAGAUGUGGAGGAAUACCGAUGGCGGAGGCAGCCCCCUGGGCCAAUACUGACGCUCAUGCACGAAAGCGUGGGGAGCAAAACAGGAUUAGAUACCCUGGUAGUCCACGCCCUAAAACGAUGUCAACUAGUUGUUGGGGAUUCAUUUCCUUAGUAACGUAGCUAACGCGUGAAGUUGACCGCCUGGGGAGUACGGUCGCAAGAUUAAAAACUCAAAUGAAUUGACGGGGUCAUAGCUGUUUCCU
rnacentral:rRNA from 1 species